UUUGAAAACAAACAAAUAAGAUACAAAUAGUGACAUUUGUUAGGGACUAUUUUCAGCGGCGGAUUAAUCCACAUGUGGAGCUCCAGUGAGUGUUAGUGUCAGCAGGACAGUGUUUGAGUGAUUGUGUGUGUGUUCAUGGUGAUGAAGGAAACAUGUCACCAUCAUUUACGUGUUUUAAUAGUUUCUAGACAACAGUGCAGCUCUAUGAUACAGGUCGUCUCUCUGUCUCUGUCUCUCAUUGAGACAUUUAGGAAAAUGUCCCGCGGUGUUUGGACGCGUUCGACACCGUCUAUCUGUUUUACCAAUCUGUGCCUGCCACGCUGCUUUAGCAUCAACCCGAGCAUGACAGCGAGCUGAGCCGGCUGCAGCGUGCUGCUGCUAAAAUAACACACACACACACACACACACUGUGCUUCAGGUAAAAACACACUGUUUCAUACAAAUACACAUUUGAUAUUUGAUUUACCAGAAUGGUGACUUGACAUCUAAACAGCCAACGGAAGCUUUCUUCUCUUUUUCUGGGAGUUAAAUUUUGCGUUUCUUUUGUAACUGAGCACGUCUUUUGGUCAUUCUAGACUUUAAGAAAAGCAUAUGUUUACUUUUUUGUUGCAAUACUACUAUUAAUACUAUUCUAUAAUACUCAUAUCCUAGCAAAAAUAAACUCUUAAA